UACGGGGGGGGUAAGCGUUGUUCGGAAUUACUGGGCGUAAAGAGCGUGUAGGCGGCCAAACAGGUCCGUUGUGAAAACUGGAGGCUCAACUUCCAGACGUCGACGGAAACCGUGUGGCUAGAGUCCGGAAGAGGAGAGUGGAAUUCCUGGUGUAGCGGUGAAAUGCGCAGAUAUCAGGAAGAACACCAAUGGCGAAGGCAGCUCUCUGGGACGGUACUGACGGCUGAGACGCGAAAGCGUGGGGAGCGAACAGG
rnacentral:rRNA from 1 species